GUAAAAAGUCGUAACAAGGUUUCCCUAGGUGAAGGUUUGCCUGCGGAGAUCCCUGCAGCGACUCUAAAGAACUGCUCUCAGUCGCCCCGUCUGAUUGGGCCGGCAACGCUAUUAUUCUGCGCUGGGAGCCCUCCGUUUUGGGGGGUCGACCAGCAGCUCAAGGAAAGCCCUCGAGUUCACAGAUCAAACGACAGCGGCCACCUUCGUGGUUCAGAUAUGAUCGGCCCCAACCGCUCCGCGGCUGGCGAAAUUUUUGCGGAACCUGCGGAAGGAUCAUUACCGAGAGAGGGGCUCCGCGCUCCCGAGGGCUUCGGCCCUCGACUCUUUACCCGAUGGCUAUCUACCUUUGUUGCUUUGGCGGACCUUGGGGCUUCCCCCGCGCCGACUUCCGGGUCAGCGAGUGUCCGCCAAAGGUCCAUCAAUAUUCGUUUUAAUCCUGAUGUCUGAGUACAAAAAAACAAUAAUAAAAACUUUCAACAACGGAUCUCUUGGUUCCAGCAUCGAUGAAGAACGCAGCGAAAUGCGAUAAGUAAUGUGAAUUGCAGAAUUCAGUGAAUCAUCGAAUCUUUGAACGCACAUUGCGCCCCUCGGUAUUCCGGGGGGCAUGCCUGUUCGAGCGUCAUUAUACCCCUCAAGCGUAGCUUGGUAUUGGGUUCUCGCCCCUGCGGCGUGCCCGAAAAGCAGUGGCGGUCCGGUGCGACUUCAAGCGUAGUAAAUUUGAUCCCGCUUCGAAAGAUCGCUUCGUGGCUAGCCAGAUAAGCCCACCGCUUCUUUAAUGACCUCGGAUCAGG
rnacentral:rRNA from 1 species